ensembl:lncRNA
GGAAAAUUUCAGCAGAUCAAUUGAAUGCUGGACAGGAUGACAUCAUCACUCAUGUCAUGUACAAAGCUGUCAAGAUAAGAACCACAGCCAGUCUGACGAAACUGAUUUAGCUGACUCAGCAGUGAGAACUGAAGACGUCAGUUAUGGAAAAUCAACCAUCAGAACAAGGAGGCCCAGUCCACCAGUCCAACUGACGUCCAGCUGCUGGUCUCUAACUGGUCCCCCAAACACUUUAGACCAGAGGACGUCAACACUGAUCUUUAUGUUUCUUUUUCUUUCUCACUAAAUCAGAAAAAAAUAACAUCCUGCUUUAAUUUGACUUUUUUAAAAGUGACAAUGACUUUUCUUGCAAAUUCAACUCU